rnacentral:pre_miRNA from 1 species
UUGCCCAUUUUGGCACUAGCACAUUUUUGCUUUGUUUCUCGUUGUUUGAGCAAUCAUGUGUAGUGCCAAUAUAGGACA